rnacentral:lncRNA from 1 species
AGAACAACGGAAGCAGAAUAGAGAUCACUGACCCAUAUGUCAGUAUACCAGGCUCCUCAGAAUUUUUGACCCUUGUGGAGAUGCAGAGAUUCUCCUGUCAGCCUGGUACCACAAGGAAGCAAACUUCAGAGUCAAAUGGCAACAUCUAUGAAAGGGUUAGAGCCUCCACAGACCCCUUGGCCAAGAUAAAUUUAUUCACACAUGGCAACAGUAUUUGACUUUGCAGAAGCCUUUUUCUACACACUAACCAGAGGCUUGCAGGCUUACAGAGAAUAAUUGCUGCCAUAAGAAAGACGACUGAAAUUGACAAUAAACUGAAUUUGGCUGCAAGUACAUUGUAAUUCUGUUCUAUAUUGGAAACUUCCCGCCUGAGACAAGUGUUCAGCAGAGACUGAAGAAAAGGCCAUCCAGAGACUGCCUCACCUGGUGAUCCAUCCCAUAUACAGUAACCCAUGAGGUUCUGCCAGAGCCUUAUAAAUACAGACAUGGAUGCUUGCAGCCAAGCAUUGGACUGAGCACAGGGUUCCCAGUGGCGAAGUUAAAGAAAGAACUGAAGGAGGUGAAGGGAUUUGCAACCCAUAGGAAGAACAAUAAUAUCAACCAACUAGAUCCUCCCAGAGCUACCAGGGACUAAACCACCAACCAAAGAGUACACAUGGAGGGACCUAUGGCUCCAGCCGCAUAUGUAGCAGAGAAUGGUCUUGUUGGGCAUCAAAGGUAGAAGGGGCCCUUGAUCCUAUGAAGGCUUGAUGCCCCAGCCUAGGGAAUUCCAGGGCAUAGAGGUGGGAGUGGGUGGGUCCAUGGGAGAACACUCACAUAGAAGCAAGGGGAGGAUGGAUGGGAUAUUGGGAUUCCUUGGGGGCUAGUGGGAGAGACAGGAAAGCAGUUAACAUUUGAAAUGUAAUAAAGAAAAGUAUCCAAUAAAAAGAUAAAAACAUCAAAUAAAUAACAUAGAGAAUGUUUACCCAAUCAAAGGUUACUUUUGAAUUUUAGAUUAUUUGAUAACCCAUAUAGGUACAUUUACUUUACUAAAUAUAAGCAACUGAAAUGCAUCAGAAUGGCAUGCAAUAAAUGAAAACCUAACCAUUGUGAUUAUCUGUUCUUAUAUAGGUGACACAAAUAUUUCCUGCUUGAAAAGGUGUGUUUGGGAAUAUUUGCUGAAAUAAUAUGCAACCCUGAACGGUUAGUCUGUAGACAUCGUUUUCCUCCUAUGAUAAUAAACCACAUCCACCUUUGAUUGACAAGCAGACCUGUGACUGGUCACUCUUGUGAAAUAUCCAAAGGGAAAUAUACCCACAAAACAUGUUUGUUUGGCACUGUUCAAGUAAUUAUUUAAAAGUGUAGUUUUGUAUACAUGAAAUACUCUUUGCAUACAACAUAAUACUACCAAACUCAUCAGCAAGCUCUUUGAAUACCUACUGCAUUCCCUUUGGUAAAGGAAAAAUUUCAAGAGAGAAAUAUUGUUAUUAAAUAAUUAGCUAAAGACAUUAAAAUGAGAUAAAAUAAAGAAGAGUUGAAACUUUGAAAAAUUUGGGUAUUUAUACCAUUUCCUAGCCAGGAGCCAAUUGCUUCUCUGUAGUUCAGCUUUUCAUAGUUUGUACAUAUUUACUCUUUCCUUGCCAUUGGGUUUAAGGCUCUACCCUUAUGCUCCAGGAUCAUCUGCUUAUGCUCCUGUUUCUUAUUUGUAUGGUCCUACUACUUGUCUGUUUUAUGAAUACUAGUUGUGAAAGCUGCAUCUUUUCCUUGGUCACCUAACAUACUUCAUCUCAACUUUCAAAUUAAUGUAAUGUCCAGUGUCAUGUAUCUGCAUGUUUUAGCACUCUAAAAGAAACAAAGAGCUAUUCUAUGCCUCAUUUUACUUGGAACACACAGUGGUUUGCCAUUUCACAAACAUCUUCAUUUACAAGAUUGUUUUGUUUGGCCCAUGAGUAUAUUACAUAGCAGUAAUUAGACUCUAUGGGAUAUGAAAUAUUGAAGAAUAAUAUAAAGUUUGAAGAGAGGUUGGGGGCAGACUUGGCAGAAGUUGGCACGGUAAUAUGGGGUGAGCAUAAUCAGUACACAUGGAGUACAUGUAUGAAGUUCUCCAAAUAAUUUAAAUAUUACAAUUAAAACAAACCAUGGAGUCAGAUAAUUUCAUUUUGAUCCAGCCAGAGGAUCACAAAUAUACCCUUAGAAGACACUUGACAUUUAGAUUUCCACUCACAUUUCAUCACUCUGUGACUAAAUUCUCUUCAUGUGAAAGGAAAAUCAGCUCAAAAUGAAAUAUAGAAAUUCUCACAGAAAACAUAUAUGCCUCAGAGAACAUUGUAGAAGAGGGCCUGAAGGUUGUAUUAGUUAGAGGAGCAGGCUCUGAGAUUGUAUCUACUAGGAAUUCCAACACUAAAUCCUCAAAAUCUCAUUAACCUGGCCUCCUAAACAGGAGCUGAACAAGGACAACCACAGACAAGCAAGCAUUUACCAGGGAAAGGUCACAAGUCCUCAAUGCAGCUCAGAAAACUAUAGGCAAAAGGAGACCUUUGAAAGCAGGAGAAAUAGUUUUGCCCAGGAAAGAAUAUACAACCCAAUACUAAAUGGUCAGCCCUGAAAAUACACAAAUACACAUGAAGAUAAAAUCAUACAGACUUAGUUGUAUGUACGAGUCUGUGUACACCCAUACAUGCGUGUGUGUAUAUAUGUAAAAACUG